UGAGGUAUCUUGCGCAAUGGGGGAAACCCUGACGCAGCAACGCCGCGUGAGUGAGGAAGGCCUUCGGGUCGUAAAGCUCUGUCAGAUGGGAAGAAAUGGGUGGGGGCUAAUAUCGCCCAUCCUUGACGGUACCAUCAGAGGAAGCACCGGCUAACUCCGUGCCAGCAGCCGCGGUAAUACGGGGGGUGCGAGCGUUGUUCGGAAUCAUUGGGCGUAAAGCGCGCGCAGGCGGCUUGGUGAGUCAGAUGUGAAAGCCCUGGGCUUAACCCAGGAAGUGCAUUUGAUACUGCCUCGCUAGAGUACGGGAGAGGAAAGUGGAAUUCCUGGUGUAGAGGUGAAAUUCGUAGAUAUCAGGAGGAACACCGGUGGCGAAGGCGACUUUCUGGCCGGAUACUGACGCUCAGGCGCGAAAGCGUGGGGAGCAAACAG
rnacentral:rRNA from 1 species